GAUGGAACAGAAUAUGUUUUUAUAGUGCAAAUGUUCGACGAAAUGUUAAUUUAUUUUAUUAUUAAUAAAUGAUAAGAGAAGUAAGAUUAUAAGAUAGAAUGAUAAAGUAAUAAAUGAGUUGUAAAUAUUGAUGGAGUUGUUUAAGCUUUUGGCCGAUGCCAACAGUUCAGAAGGGGAUCUUACAAGGAUAUAAAAAACUUCCUUUCACGCCUACAAAGUGCCUACAAAUUUUGACAUGGAUGAAAAUUAUACCCAAGGACAAGGGUUAAGGAUGGAUAAAGGUCGAGGACAAGACCUAAGGAAUGAUGAUGGUCGAGGUUAAGGCCGAAGGAAGGAGUUAUUUAUUUAUUUAUUUUAUUUAUAUUAAGGUCGAGGACAAGACCUAAGGAAUGAUGAUGGUCGAGGUUAAGGCCGAAGGAAGGAUUUAUUUAUUUAUUUAUUUUAUUUAUUUAUUUAUAUAAAGGUCGAGGAUAAGACCUAAGGAUUGAUGAUGGUCGAGGCUAAGACCGAAGGAAGGAUUGAUGAUGGUUGAAUUCAAGAACUAAGGGGUGAAAAGUCGAGGUCAAGACUUAAUGGAUGGAUGAAGAUUGAAGUUAAAACCUGGUGCAUGAGGACAAGGGCGUCAAUGACUUUGGAAAUUCUUUGGACAUUACGUUGUGAUGUAUGUGUACAACCUGAAAGCUAAACUGCAACUUGAAGAAUGAUAUCAAAGGAAACCAAGGACAGCAUCUUAUUUAAUGAAUGAACAUAAGCAAAAAGUUAAUGAGGGAAAGUACUCAAAAAAAAAAAAAAAGGUUGAGGAAAAAACAAAACUUUUAGAAUCCUUUCUUAGUGACGAAAACGAUGCUAAGCUUCUUAUAGAAAUCGUAAACGAGUCUGUUACGGUGAAUCUUUGAAACAAUAUUAUUAUGCUGAAAUUAAUAUUUUGUGAUAAAAGAACAUGUAAACAAAGUGUAUUUCAAGAAAGACUAAGAUGGACAAUUUCUUAGUAUUUCUUAGUAAUUAAUAAGUUUAGAAUAAAUGUAACCAAGUAUCAACAGUUAGUGUUAACGAUAAAGCGAUUGAUAAGUACAUAAUGAAUGUGAAUUUGAAUAGCCGGCUUUCACUGAU